GAUGAACGCUGGCGGCGUGCCUAAUACAUGCAAGUCGAGCGAACGGACGAGAAGCUUGCUUCUCUGAUGUUAGCGGCGGACGGGUGAGUAACACGUGGAUAACCUACCUAUAAGACUGGGAUAACUUCGGGAAACCGGAGCUAAUACCGGAUAAUAUUUUGAACCGCAUGGUUCAAAAGUGAAAGACGGUCUUGCUGUUACUUAUAGAUGGAUCCGCGCUGCAUUAGCUAGUUGGUAAGGUAACGGCUUACCAAGGCAACGAUGCAUAGCCGACCUGAGAGGGUGAUCGGCCACACUGGAACUGAGACACGGUCCAGACUCCUACGGGAGGCAGCAGUAGGGAAUCUUCCGCAAUGGGCGAAAGCCUGACGGAUCAACGCCGCGUGAGUGAUGAAGGUCUUCGGGUCGUAAAACUCUGUUAUUAGGGAAGAACAUAUGUGUAAGUAACUGUGCACAUCUUGACGGUACCUAAUCAGAAAGCCACGGCUAACUACGUG
rnacentral:rRNA from 1 species